GAGGGUAUAGCUCAGUGGUAGAACACGUGCUUAGUGUGCAUGAGGUCCUGGGGUCAAUCCCCAGUCCCUCCA
rfam:Camelus ferus unplaced genomic scaffold scaffold591, whole genome shotgun sequence.